CAAUUGACAUGAUCUUAAGCCAGUAAACCUGCUGAACUUAA
rnacentral:rRNA from 1 species